GCCUAUUGAGAUAUCCAACAUGACCCACAUGUUUUCUUCUUGCUCAAAACAAAAACCAAAGAACCUAACUCAAGAAAUUUGUUUACAAUAGUGAACAACCAGAUUAAUCAAAUGAAUUACAUAUUAAAGCAAUUUCGUUAUGAGAAAUUAUCCGAUUAUCAAUAAUGCCUAAUUAAAAAGGUUCCAGAAGCUAAAAGAAGUACAAUGGCAUUUCCAAUUAUCAAGCAAUGAAGUCAUCUCUGCUAUCGUUUUUGGCUCUAUAUUUCUUGUAUUCUCUUGAUUGAAUAGUUCCUUGCAAAAUUCUUUUCUCUUCGUAUAUCUCUUGUAAAGAAAUAGACAGCAAACUUGAAAGAAUCUCUUUUUGGAUAUGUAGUAUUCAUUGGUGCUACUCUUGGAUUGCUUUAGUAUAAGUGAUUCAUAAACCUCAAAAGAACAUUAUGGAACAUCCCUCUUUUCGUUGUUGACACUGGAAUGCAAUCUUCAUCUCUGGCUAAAUAUUGCAAGAAAAUUAAUGAGAGAAACAACUUCUUUUUUACCGUUUUAUAAUGUUCUGG
rnacentral:lncRNA from 1 species